AGUGGAAUUACUGGGGCAUAUGGUAAAUCUCCAUUUAAAUUUUUGAGGAACUGCCAAAUUGUUUUCCAAAGUGGCUGCGCCAUUUUACAUUCCCACCAGCAGU
rnacentral:pre_miRNA from 1 species